rnacentral:tRNA from 2 species
GCCACCAUAGUAUAGUGGUUAGUACGGCGGUCUCAUAAUCCGCAAGCACGAGUUCGAUUCUCGUUGGAGGCA